rnacentral:rRNA from 1 species
GACGAACGCUGGCGGCACGCUUAACACAUGCAAGUCGAACGGAGAUAAUUUGAGUUUACUUGGAUUAUCUUAGUGGCGGACGGGUGAGUAACACGUGAGCAACCUGCCUUUGAGAGAGGGAUAGCUUCUGGAAACGGGUGGUAAUACCUCAUGACAUAAUUGAAGGGCAUCCUUUAAUUAUCAAAGAUUUAUCACUCAAAGAUGGGCUCGCGUCUGAUUAGAUAGUUGGUGAGGUAACGGCUCACCAAGUCGACGAUCAGUAGCCGGACUGAGAGGUUGAACGGCCACAUUGGGACUGAGACACGGCCCAGACUCCUACGGGAGGCAGCAGUGGGGAAUAUUGCACAAUGGGGGAAACCCUGAUGCAGCGAUGCCGCGUGGAGGAAGAAGGUUU